AUAGCAUAUGCUUUAUUUUUAUUGAGUAUUCUCUUAGUUAUAGGGUUUGUAGGUUUUUCUUCAAAACCUCCUAUUUAUGGAGGCUUGAGUUUAAUUAUUAGUGGUGCUGUGGGUUGUGGUAUUGUGUUGAAUUUUUGUGGGGCUUUCAUGGGAUUAAUAGUCUUUUUGAUUUAUUUGGGUGGUAUAAUGGUUGUUUUUGGUUAUACUGCGGUAAUAGCUAUUGAGGAAUACCCGGAAACAUGGGGAUCAAGUAUUGACAUUUCAGGGGAUUUAUGAUUAGGAUUAUUAAUGGAGUUGAUGUUGGUUUGGUGAAUAGCUGAAUACGAUGGGGUUGUGAUCACAAUUAAUUGUAAUAGCUCAGGGAGUUGAUUAAUUUUUGAGGGGUAGGGGUAGGGGUUGUUGCAUGAGGAUCCUGUGGGUGUGGCUGCCUUGUAGAGUUAUGGAUGUUGAUUAGUGGUAGUUGCUGGUUGAUCAUUAUUUGUUAGCAUUUAUGUCGUAAUUGAAAUUUCUCGGGAUAAUAG
rnacentral:lncRNA from 1 species